UAACCUUCGAUAAGCAGCCUUGAUGUCUUUACUGUUAGCAGAUUUUGGGACCCCAAGUGUAGAGUAAUAAUCGGCAGCAGCAGCAACCACCAAUCUCCCAAAACGUCGUCCCGGAAUCUUCUGAGAUGAAGAAAAGGAAAUGGAUAUAAACUUCGUAUGGGCCCACAAGCGGGUCCCACCGGAGAAGAAACUAGAGGAGGAGGAAGGAGGAAGACAGGGAGAAUGGGAACGGUCGGAGAUGAGAGAAGAAGGACGGAGAGAUAGAGAUGCUGUGCUGGCCAUUGCCGUCGAGUUCAUUGGACUACAGAAGACUGGUUAACUGUCCCGCGUUUUGAUGCUUGCUUGCUUCUUUUUUUUCACAAGAAAG
rnacentral:misc_RNA from 1 species